GGCGGUAUGGUGAAAUUGGUAGACACAGGGGAUUCAAAAUCCCCCGGCGAAAGCUGUGCCAGUUCGAGUCUGGCUACCGCUACCA
rnacentral:tRNA from 1 species